rnacentral:misc_RNA from 1 species
GCAGAAUUCAGUGAAUCAUCGAAUCUUUGAACGCAAAUGGCGCUCUUGGGUUCUCCCAGGAGCAUGUCUGUCUGAGUGUCUUUUUCGUUGAAUGACAUUCGCACGAUGUGGCCGUGUUAUGCACUGGCGUUUCGUGCGGCGUUGAGGUUCGCGGCCUUGCUAUUCUUAGGCCGCGUGCCUUUAAAUGGAGGAGGAAGAUGGGCUCAAGGUCCGGUGCAGUCGCAUGCGGAUUCAGUUGAUGUGCCGCAUGUGACUGCUGCAUCGGGAAUAUUGUCCUCGGCCCUCUACCUCGUGACCUUUUAGCACGACGCUCGUUCGUUCGUUCGUUCGUUCGUUCGUUCGUUCGUUCGUUCGUUCGUUCGUUGCUUGCCGCCAGACCUCAGAUCAGGCAAGGCUACCCGCUGAAUUUAAGCAUAUUAAUAAGCGGAGGAAAAGAAACUAACAAGGAUUCCCCCAGUAACGGCGAGUGAAGCGGGAAGAGCUCAAAUUUGAAAUCUCCGAUGCCUGCAUCGGCGAGUUGUAGUUGCGAGAAGCACUUUCUAGGCGGAAGGGCCCUGCCUAAGUUGCUUGGAACAGCACGUCGCAGAGGGUGACAACCCCGUCU